UCGUAACAAGGUCUCCGUUGGUGAACCAGCGGAGGGAUCAUUACCGAGUUUACAACUCCCAAACCCCUGUGAACAUACCAAUUGUUGCCUCGGCGGAUCAGCCCGCUCCCGGUAAAACGGGACGGCCCGCCAGAGGACCCCUAAACUCUGUUUCUAUAUGUAACUUCUGAGUAAAACCAUAAAUAAAUCAAAACUUUCAACAACGGAUCUCUUGGUUCUGGCAUCGAUGAAGAACGCAGCAAAAUGCGAUAAGUAAUGUGAAUUGCAGAAUUCAGUGAAUCAUCGAAUCUUUGAACGCACAUUGCGCCCGCCAGUAUUCUGGCGGGCAUGCCUGUUCGAGCGUCAUUUCAACCCUCAAGCCCAGCUUGGUGUUGGGACUCGCGAGUCAAAUCGCGUUCCCCAAAUUGAUUGGCGGUCACGUCGAGCUUCCAUAGCGUAGUAGUAAAACCCUCGUUACUGGUAAUCGUCGCGGCCACGCCGUUAAACCCCAACUUCUGAAUGUUGACCUCGGAUCAGGUAGGAAUACCCGCUGAACUUAAGCAUAUC
rnacentral:misc_RNA from 1 species